rnacentral:rRNA from 1 species
CGGCGAACGGGUGAGUAAUACAUCGGAACGUACCCUAUUGUGGGGGAUAACGAAUCGAAAGAUUCGCUAAUACCGCAUAAGACCUGAGGGUGAAAGCGGGGGACCGUAAGGCCUCGCGCGAUAGGAGCGGCCGAUGUCGGAUUAGCUAGUUGGUGAGGUAAAGGCUCACCAAGGCGACGAUCCGUAGCGGGCCUGAGAGGACGGCCCGCCACACUGGAACUGAGACACGGUCCAGACUCCUACGGGAGGCAGCAGUGGGGAAUUUUGGACAAUGGGCGCAAGCCUGAUCCAGCCAUUCCGCGUGAGUGAAGAAGGCCUUCGGGUUGUAAAGCUCUUUCGGCAGGAACGAAAAGGUGGGGGCUAAUACCUCUUAUCGAUGACGGUACCUGAAGAAGAAGCACCGGCUAACUACGUGCCAGCAGCCGCGGUAAUACGUAGGGUGCGAGCGUUAAUCGGAAUUACUGGGCGUAAAGCGUGCGCAGGCGGUUUUGUAAGACAGAUGUGAAAUCCCCGGGCUUAACCUGGGAACUGCGUUUGUGACUGCAAGACUUGAGUGCGGCAGAGGGGGGUGGAAUUCCACGUGUAGCAGUGAAAUGCGUAGAGAUGUGGAGGAACACCGAUGGCGAAGGCAGCCCCCUGGGUCGACACUGACGCUCAUGCACGAAAGCGUGGGUAGCAAACAGGAUUAGAUACCCUGGUAGUCCACGCCCUAAACGAUGCCAACUAGGUGUUGGGGAAGGAGACUUCCUUAGUACCGUAGCUAACGCGUGAAGUUGGCCGCCUGGGGAGUACGGUCGCAAGAUUAAAACUCAAAGGAAUUGACGGGGACCCGCACAGCGGUGGAUGAUGUGGAUUAAUUCG